rnacentral:rRNA from 1 species
UACGUAGGGUGCGAGCGUUGUCCGGAAUUAUUGGGCGUAAAGAGCUCGUAGGCGGUUUGUCGCGUCUGCUGUGAAAACUCGGGGCUUAACCCCGGGCCUGCAGGUGGGUACGGGCAGACUAGAGUGCGGUAGGGGAGAGCUGGAAUUCCUGGUGUAGCGGUGAAAUGCGCAGAUAUCAGGAGGAACACCGGUGGCGAAGGCGGCCCGCUGGGCAGGAAGGGGGUCGUAAGACCCCCGGCUGACACUGAGGCGCGACAGCGUGGGGAGCAAACAGG